GUGCUUGCUUCGGCAGCACAUAUACUAAAAUUGGGAUGAUACAGAGAUUAGCAUGGCCCCUGUGCAAGGAUGACGCCCAAAUUUGUGAAGUGUUCCAUAUUAGA